rnacentral:tRNA from 1 species
UGCGAAAUGGUGUAAAGGUGCGCACAGCAGCCUCAUGAUUUGUUAGAUUAGGUUCGAUUCCUAAUUUCGCAA